rnacentral:rRNA from 1 species
UAUUGGGUUCUUGAACCCAAAUUAACGUGCCCAAGCAGUCGCGGUAAUAACGUAGAAAGACUAGUGUUAUUCAUGUUUAAUCGGUUUAAAAGGGUACCCUAGACGGUGAAUCAAGCUUUAGAAUAAAGAAGAAAAGGADCUAAUUCGGCUAGAGUUACUUACGAGGGGGUAGUAAAGUACUGCUGGUGUAGAGAUGAAAUUCUGUCAUACCUCUUUUCGAAAGAAAAAUUAUGGCACAGGUAUAGGCGAAGGCAUCCCCUUAUGUGAUAACUGACGUUGAGGGACGAAGGCUUYGUGGAACAAACAGGAUUAGAUACCCUAGUAGUUGAAGCAGAAAAUGAUGAAUGUCAUAGAUUAGACGUCUAAGUUUAUUCUAUAAAUGAAAGUGUAAGCAUUCCACCUCAUGAGUAAUUUGGCAACAUUGGAAUUGAAAUCAUUAGACCGUUUCUGAAACCAGUAGUGAAGUAUGUUGUUUAAUUUGAUAAUACGCAAAAAACCUUACCACAAUUUGAAUAUUUAUAUUGUUUAUUGUUAUCUUAUUAAUUUUCUUAAAAAAACUAAUUAUAGCAAAAGCAUUUUAAAACAGGAAAAGAAAAUUAAUCAAGAGGCAAUAACAUAUAUCUACAAGCGUUGCACGGCUGUCUUCAGUUAAUGUCGCGAGAGCUUUGGUUAGUUCCAUUAAAUUAAGGUAAAC